rnacentral:rRNA from 1 species
CCUACGGGAGGCAGCAGUGAGGAAUAUUGGUCAAUGGACGAGAGUCUGAACCAGCCAAGUCGCGUGAAGGAUGACUGCCCUAUGGGUUGUAAACUUCUUUUAUAUGGGAAUAAAAUGUUCCACGUGUGGGUUUUUGUAUGUACCAUAUGAAUAAGGAUCGGCUAACUCCGUGCCAGCAGCCGCGGUAAUACGGAGGAUGCGAGCGUUAUCCGGAUUUAUUGGGUUUAAAGGGUGCGUAGGUGGAUUGUUAAGUCAGUUGUGAAAGUUUGCGGCUCAACCGUAAAAUUGCAGUUGAAACUGGCAGUCUUGAGUACAGUAGAGGUAGGCGGAAUUCGUGGUGUAGCGGUGAAAUGCUUAGAUAUCACGAAGAACUCCGAUUGCGAAGGCAGCUCACUGGACUGCAACUGACACUGAGGCUCGAAAGUGUGGGUAUCAAACAGGAUUAGAUACCCCAGUAGUC